rnacentral:pre_miRNA from 1 species
CUGCAUCCUCAGGACCUGGGCUUGGGUGGUAGGAGGAAUUGGUGCUGGUCUUUCAUUUUGGAUUUGACUCCAGCCCCACAGCCUCAGCCACCCCAGCCAAUUGUCAUAGGAGCUGGAU